rnacentral:rRNA from 1 species
GCCUACGGGAGGCAGCAGUGGGGAAUAUUGGACAAUGGGGGCAACCCUGAUCCAGCAAUGCCGCGUGAGUGAUGAAGGCCUUAGGGUUGUAAAGCUCUUUUACCCGGGAUGAUAAUGACAGUACCGGGAGAAUAAGCUCCGGCUAACUCCGUGCCAGCAGCCGCGGUAAUACGGAGGGAGCUAGCGUUGUUCGGAAUUACUGGGCGUAAAGCGCACGUAGGCGGCUAUUCAAGUCAGAGGUGAAAGCCCGGGGCUCAACCCCGGAACUGCCUUUGAAACUAGAUAGCUUGAAUCCAGGAGAGGUGAGUGGAAUUCCGAGUGUAGAGGUGAAAUUCGUAGAUAUUCGGAAGAACACCAGUGGCGAAGGCGGCUCACUGGACUGGUAUUGACGCUGAGGUGCGAAAGCGUGGGGAGCAAACAGGAUUAGAUACCCUAGUAGUCG